UACAGAGGGUGCGAGCGUUAAUCGGAAUUACUGGGCGUAAAGCGUGCGUAGACGGUUAUUUAAGUCGGAUGUGAAAGCCCCGGGCUCAACCUGGGAAUUGCAUUCGAGACUGAAUAGCUAGGGUGCGGUAGAGGGAAGCGGAAUUUCCGGUGUAGCGGUGAAAUGCGUAGAUAUCGGAAGGAACACCGAUGGCGAAGGCAGGUCUCUGGGCUGACACUGACGCUCAUGCACGAAAGCGUGGGGAGCAAACAGG
rnacentral:rRNA from 1 species